rnacentral:lncRNA from 1 species
UGACAGGGUGUUGGAGAUGAAAUUGAUUGCAAAUAUUAUUCUUGAGUUGUCAUUUCUACAAAGAGAAAUAAAUUGUUUCCCUUAAGAUUGAAUAAAGAUUGUCACGGAAAGAGAGGAAGGUAUACUUAAGUGUUGAACAGGCAUGUUCGGGAAAGGUGAUGUCUAAGAAGUUAAUAAUAUCUGGCAUAGGACUGAUUGAAUCACUUGCAGGGUUGUUGUUGAAGAGACAGGAGAUCUUAAAAGUCUACACCAAUAUCAUAUUAAGGAAAAUGGAAGCUAGUACUGGAAAGAGGUGACUCCUGUGUCAGAAGAUGUCAAAGAAUCAGGU